rnacentral:rRNA from 1 species
CCUACGGGAGGCAGCAGUGAGGAAUAUUGGUCAAUGGACGAGAGUCUGAACCAGCCAAGUAGCGUGAAGGAUGACUGCCCUAUGGGUUGUAAACUUCUUUUAUAUGGGAAUAAAACGUUCCAUGUGUGGGAUUUUGUAUGUACCAUAUGACUAAGGAUCGGCUAACUCCGUGCCAGCAGCCGCGGUAAUACGGAGGGUCCGAGCGUUAUCCGGAUUUAUUGGGUUUAAAGGGAGCGUAGGUGGAUUGUUAAGUCAGUUGUGAAAGUUUGCGGCUCAACCGUAAAAUUGCAGUUGAAACUGGCAGUCUUGAGUACAGUAGAGGUGGGCGGAAUUCGUGGUGUAGCGGUGAAAUGCUUAGAUAUCACGAAGAACUCCGGUUGCGAAGGCAGUUCACUGGACUGCAACUGACACUGAGGCUCGAAAGUGUGGGUAUCAAACAGGAUUAGAUACCCGGGUAGUC